GGACGAACGCUGGCGGCGUGCCUAAUACAUGCAAGUCGAACGAACCGCGACUAAGUGCUUGCACUAAGUCAAGGUGAGUGGCGAACGGGUGAGUAACACGUGGGUAACCUACCUCAUAGUGGGGGAUAACAGUCGGAAACGACUGCUAAUACCGCAUAGGACAUAGGAUCACAUGAUCCAGUGAGGAAAGGUGGCGCAAGCUAUCGCUAAGAGAUGGACCCGCGGUGCAUUAGCUAGUUGGUAGGGUAAAGGCCUACCAAGGCGAUGAUGCAUAGCCGACCUGAGAGGGUGAUCGGCCACAUUGGGACUGAGACACGGCCCAAACUCCUACGGGAGGCAGCAGUAGGGAAUCUUCCGCAAUGGACGCAAGUCUGACGGAGCAACGCCGCGUGAGUGAAGAAGGUCUUCGGAUCGUAAAGCUCUGUUGUUAGAGAAGAACAGCGCAUAGAGUAACUGCUAUGCGUGUGACGGUAUCUAACCAGAAAGCCACGGCUAACUACGUG
rnacentral:rRNA from 1 species